CAUCUUACUUAAACUACACAAGGAUCGUUUGUUCACAGUUGAUCUAUCUUGGAAUCACAUUAAAGCAGUGCUCAUGGUAAUCUAUUUUUCCUUUUCGGAUACUGCCCUUGAAAAUAAUUUUUUAUUCUUUCAAAAGAAAUUAAUCUUUUAAUUUUAAAAAAAGUUCGGCAAAAUUUUUAUUUGAACAAGUUUUUGAGAAAAUUUUCAUGCUUAUUUAUUGAUUUUUUUUGGUAUUUUGAGAAAGAAUUAGAAACACUAAGAAUGGACCAAAACUUUUGUAACCCAUAUAAGUGUGUACAAUGUCUUCACCGAAAAACAAUUAAAAAAAAAAAAUUGUUUUUCAUAUUGAGAUUUUAGUACAAUUUUGCUCCUGAAAAUAAGUAUUAACUAUAUAUUUUUAAAAAUUACUCCAAAAAGUUAGGGCCUCUUUGAUAACUUUUUUUUUUUUUAAAAAAAAAAAAAAAGUUUUUGAGAACAAUUUUUGAAAACUAUUUUAUGAUGUUUUAUAAAAUAAAAUUCUGUUUGGAAACCUAAAAUAUUUUUAACCUAUUUUUAAUAUUUUUAAAAAUAAUUUUUAAGUUUAGUGUUUUAUUUUUAAUUAUUCUACAUAUUUGUAUAAUUAUUUUUUAAAAUUGUCUUUAGAAACAAUUAAGAGAUGUUAUUUGAAAGCAUCCAUUUUUUUUUUUAAUUCUUAACCCCUUUUUGUUGCCAAACGUGUUUUCAUGAUUUUUUGUUCUGAAAAACAGAAAAUGUUCUCGAAAAGCUGCCUAAGUAAACUCUUAUUUUCUGUAACUGUUUUUGAAAAAGUUGCAAUAUAAAAACAAAAACAAUAUCCAACUUGAAAGUGAGUGUCAAUACAAAUAAUAAAUACUUAUAUUUUUUUUCUUAACUUUCUUUGCAGGAACAGAUACAGUUGCAGCUACUAUGGUUUGGACGAUGACAGCUCUGAUGAAGAACCCUAGAGUGAUGAAGAAAGCACAAAAAGAAGUCAGAACUUUAGUUGGGGAGAAGUGUUUUGUGGAUGAAGAUGAUAUUCAAAAGCUUACUUAUAUGAAGGCAUUGGUGAAGGAAAGCAUGAGAUUGUAUCCUGCAGCACCCUUGCUAAUCCCUCGAGAAACACUUCAAAAGUGCAAUAUAGAUGGGUAUUAGAUACCGACCAAAACCCUAGUGUUUGUCAAUGCAUGGGCAAUUGGAAGAGAUCCUGAAUCCUGGGAAAACCCAGAAGAGUUCAUGCCUGAGAGAUUUUUGGGUACUUGUAUCGACUUCAAAGGACAAGAUUAUAAGCUGAUACCAUUUGGGGCCGGCCGGAGAAUAUGGCCAGGGAUGAAUCUUGGAGCUGUGACAGUAGAGCUUGCACUCGCU
rnacentral:lncRNA from 1 species